UCGUAAAUUUGCUGAACUUGGC
rnacentral:miRNA from 1 species